GUCUAUGGCCAUGCCACUCUGAACAAGCCCUAUCCCGUCUGAUCUAGGAAGCUAAGCAGGGUCAGGCCUGGUUAGUACUUUAAUGGGAGACCACCUAGAAAGACCAGUUGCUGUAGGCG
ensembl:rRNA 5S_rRNA 5S ribosomal RNA